rnacentral:rRNA from 1 species
GUGCCAGCAGCCGCGGUAAUACGUAGGGUGCGGGCGUUAAUCGGAAUUACUGGGCGUAAAGCGUGCGCAGGCGGCUUUGCAAGACAGAGGUGAAAUCCCCGGGCUCAACCUGGGAACUGCCUUUGUGACUGCAAGGCUAGAGUACGGCAGAGGGGGAUGGAAUUCCGCGUGUAGCAGUGAAAUGCGUAGAUAUGCGGAGGAACACCGAUGGCGAAGGCAAUCCCCUGGGCCUGUACUGACGCUCAUGCACGAAAGCGUGGGGAGCAAACAGGAUUAG